rnacentral:rRNA from 1 species
GACGAACGCUGGCGGCGUGCCUAAUACAUGCAAGUUGAGCGCUCAAGGUUUGUGCUUGUACCCACUGUCUGAGCAGCUAACGGGUGAGUAACUCGUGGGGAGUCUACCUUUGUGCGGGGGACAACUUUUAGAAACGAAUGCUAAUUCCUCCUACAAACUUUAAACACACGCUUUAAGUUUGAACGAUGCAAUUGCCUCACUCACAGAUGAUCCCGCGUGGUAUUAGCUAGUUGGGGAGGUAAAGGCUCACCAAAGCCAAGAUGCAUAUCCGACCUGAGAGGGGGAAAGGACACAAUGGGAAUGAGACAAGGCCCAAACUCCUAAGGGAAGCAGCAGUAGGGAAUCCUACGCAAAGGAAGAAAGGCUGAACGAGGAAAGCCGGGUGAGGGAAGAAGGGUUUCGGAUUGGAAAAAUCUGGUGGUAGAGAAGAACGAGGGGAAGGGGGGAAAGCUAAGCAAGUGACGGUAACUAACCAGAAAGCGACGGCUAACUACGUG